UUUAAGGUUUGCCUUAACACGAGGCUGUAGGAAUUGAGAGAUCAAAAAGACGAUUGGAAACAGAGUUUUGCAGUUCAAGGAAUACAAAAACACUGCAAAAGAAGCUGGUCAAGUGACUCUUGCAAAAAUAGAAAAGUAGUUCGGUUUAAACUCUAGAAUCUUGCUACAGAAGGUGGAGCCUGCAGGUCCAAGUGGGAGCUAGUUGAAAAUGUAGAUAGAAUCUCUGGCCCUAACCCAGACCUACUGAAUCAGUACAUGCAUUUCAACUAAAUCCUAAUGAUUUGUACACAGGUUACAGUUUGAGAAACACAGCUCUAGAGAUAACUGGCAAAGCAAGAAUGUGGGCACCGGGCUUCAGGAGGUGGAGGCAUUCUUUACCAUGAGGAUAAAAGCCACACAUUAAGGAUGGAAGAGCAGUGAAGACAUGAUGAAGCUGCUGUACCAGUUAUGGCUGCCUACUUCCCAAGGAAAUAUGUAGGCUUACCUGAAACUUUCUCCUCAAGGCCCGAGUCAUUACUGGAGUCAGCCCAGAUCCUGUGUCCAUGUUUUCUUUAUUGACUUAAAAUAACACAAAACAACAAUACUCUGAAUGAAGAUGUUUAGGAGAGCCUCAGAGGAAGUAAGCAAUCUUGUGGUUGCCUGAAAAAAAGAUUAAACCUCAUCACAUCCAUGCCCAGGACUUUCUAUGGAGAGAUGUCACUGAGAACCUCUAUCUAAGGUCCAGAGUUCACUGGGUGAAAUCCCGGGAAUCUGAGACUUCCAUGGUAACUUCCUCUUCUUGUCUCCAUCUGCCCCUUGCAGCCCUCCCCCAAUUCUGUUCCCUCUCUCCCUUUGAUGUCUUUUGUUAGACAUCAGACUGACACAGAGAACUGGUCUCCUGCCUCCUUUUUUCCUAUAUUCACCAAGCACUCAGUUAUAAAAAUAGACUUCAGAAAGGAGCUGGACAUUCUGGUUUAAACUUGGUAGAUUGGCUCUAUUCCUUUAUCUCCACUCCAAUAGUGUGCUGGGGUUGGCAACAACUGAUACAUUUUCAGGAAGUCUGUGAAUUAGUUGUGAAACACAUCCACCAUUAAAAUUAAAUUAUAUAAAUUAUAUAAUAUAUUACAUAUAUUAUAUAUAACAUUAUUACAUUAUAAAAUAUAUAUUAUAUAUAUUGAUGCAAAGCUCAUUACUUCCUAAUGAUUUUACUAUUAUUUAUGCUGUUGAGGUUGUUUACAUUAUUGUAUCUAUAUAGUGAAAAUGCUAUAAAAUGCUAAUUUCUUUCCAAUUCCAUAUUCAGUGACUACACAUUGAAAUCUUGAAAUUGGCUAUGAUGGGAGUAUUUACACCGUGGACAUAACACCACAAAUCAGGGCUUGAUUCAUUAUGCUGUUGAUUGUUAAGAGAGUGAUAAAGAAAAUGUUAAUAAUGCAGGUUAGAUUUAAAAGCAAAUC